CACGUAGGCGGCCUGUUAAGCGUGGAGUGAAAUCCCACGGCUCACCCGUGGAACUGCUUCGCAUACUGGCAAGCUCGAGGACGGUAGGGGAGAGCGGAACUCUUGGUGGAGCGGUGAAAUGCGUAGAUAUCAAGAGGAACACCGAUGGCGAAGGCAGCUCUCUGGUCCGUUUCUGACGCUGAGGUGCGAAAGCUAGGGUAGCGAACG
rnacentral:rRNA from 1 species